rnacentral:rRNA from 1 species
GACGAACGCUGGCGGCGUGCCUAAUACAUGCAAGUCGAACGAGAGCAACCGGUGCUUGCACUGGUCAAUCUAGUGGCGAACGGGUGAGUAACACGUGGGUAACCUGCCCAUCAGAGGGGGAUAACAUCCGGAAACGGAUGCUAAAACCGCAUAGGUCUUCGAACCGCAUGGUUUGAAGAGGAAAAGAGGCGCAAGCUUCUGCUGAUGGAUGGACCCGCGGUGCAUUAGCUAGUUGGUGAGGUAACGGCUCACCAAGGCCGUGAUGCAUAGCCGACCUGAGAGGGUGAUCGGCCACAUUGGGACUGAGACACGGCCCAAACUCCUACGGGAGGCAGCAGUAGGGAAUCUUCCGCAAUGGACGCAAGUCUGACGGAGCAACGCCGCGUGAGUGAAGAAGGUUUUCGGAUCGUAAAACUCUGUUGUUAGAGAAGAACAAGUGCUAGAGUAACUGUUAGCGACUUGACGGUAUCUAACCAGAAAGCCACGGCUAACUACGUG